ensembl:snRNA U6atac minor spliceosomal RNA
AUGCCAUCUGAAAGGAGAAAAGGUUAGCACUCCCACUGAUGUGGAUGGAGGAGGUCCUCUUGUCCUUCAGUACACAUAGUUAAAGCACUGCCACCUCUUCUAUCUCAGCGCUAAACAGUUUUGA